ACUCCUACGGGAGGCAGCAGUAGGGAAUUUUCCGCAAUGGACGAAAGUCUGACGGAGCAAUGCCGCGUGAGUGAUGUAAGGUUUUCGAAUCGUAAAGCUCUGUUGUAAGGGAAGAAUAGCAAGAAUAGGAAAUGAUUCUUGUCUGACGGUACCUUACCAGAAAGCCACGGCUAACUACGUGCCAGCAGCCGCGGUAAUACGUAGGUGGCAAGCGUUAUCCGGAAUUAUUGGGCGUAAAGCGCAUGCAGGUGGUUUGUUAAGUCAGAUGUGAAAGCCCGGGGCUCAACCUC
rnacentral:rRNA from 1 species